UACGUAGGGACCGAGCGUUGUCCGGAAUCAUUGGGCGUAAAGAGCGUGUAGGCGGCCACUUAAGUCCUGCGUGAAAUCUUGCGGCUCAACCGCAAGCGGUCGUGGGAAACUGGGUGGCUAGAGUGCGGGAGAGGAGAGUGGAAUUCCUGGUGUAGCGGUGGAAUGCGCAGAUAUCAGGAAGAACACCCGUGGCGAAGGCGGCUUUCUGGAACGCAACUGACGCUGAGACGCGAAAGCGUGGGGAGCAAACAGG
rnacentral:rRNA from 1 species